rnacentral:rRNA from 1 species
ACCAGACUCCUACGGGAGGCAGCAGUGGGGAAUAUUGGGCAAUGGGCGCAAGCCUUACCCAGCAAUACCGCGUGAGUGAAGAAGGUCUUCGGAUUGUAAAGCUCUUUGAUCAGGGGCGAACAGAUGACGGUACCUGAAGAACAAGCCCCGGCUAACUACGUGCCAGCAGCCGCGGUAAUACGUAGGGAGCGAGCGUUGUCCGGAAUUACUGGGUGUAAAGGGAGCGUAGGCGGGGAUGCAAGUUGGGUGUCAAAACUACCGGCUCAACUGGUAGUCGCACUCAAAACUGCAGCCCUUGAGUGAAGUAGAGGCAGGCGGAAUUCCUAGUGUAGCGGUGAAAUGCGUAGAUAUUAGGAGGAACACCAGUGGCGAAGGCGGCCUGCUGGGCUUUUACUGGCGCUGAGGCUCGAAAGUGUGGGGAGCAAACAGGAUUAGAUACCCUAGUAA